rnacentral:rRNA from 1 species
AGUGAACGCUGGCGGUAGGCCUAACACAUGCAAGUCGAACGGCAGCACAGUAAGAGCUUGCUCUUACGGGUGGCGAGUGGCGGACGGGUGAGGAAUACAUCGGAAUCUACUUUUUCGUGGGGGAUAACGUAGGGAAACUUACGCUAAUACCGCAUACGACCUACGGGUGAAAGCAGGGGAUCUUCGGACCUUGCGCGAUUGAAUGAGCCGAUGUCGGAUUAGCUAGUUGGCGGGGUAAAGGCCCGCCAAGGCGACGAUCCGUAGCUGGUCUGAGAGGAUGAUCAGCCACACUGGAACUGAGACACGGUCCAGACUCCUACGGGAGGCAGCAGUGGGGAAUAUUGGACAAUGGGCGCAAGCCUGAUCCAGCCAUACCGCGUGGGUGAAGAAGGCCUUCGGGUUGUAAAGCCCUUUUGUUGGGAAAGAAAAGCAGCAGGUUAAUACCCCGCUGUUCUGACGGUACCCAAAGAAUAAGCACCGGCUAACUUCAUG